rnacentral:rRNA from 1 species
AAAAUGACUCUCGGCAAUGGAUAUCUCGGCUCUUGCAUCGAUGAAGAACGUAGUGAAAUGCGAUACUUGGUGUGAAUUGCAGAAUCGCGUGAACCAUUGAGUCGUUGAACGCAAGUUGUGCCCGAGGCCUUGUGGCCGAGGGCACGCCUGCUUGGGCGUCAUUG